UACGAAGGGUGCAAGCGUUACUCGGAAUUACUGGGCGUAAAGCGUGCGUAGGUGGUUUGUUAAGUCUGUUGUGAAAGCCCCGGGCUCAACCUGGGAAUGGCAAUGGAUACUGGCAGGCUAGAGUGCGGUAGAGGGUAGUGGAAUUCCCGGUGUAGCGGUGAAAUGCGUAGAGAUCGGGAGGAACACCAGUGGCGAAGGCGGCAUCCUGGACCAAUUCUGACGCUGAGGAGCGAAAGCCAGGGGAGCAAACGGG
rnacentral:rRNA from 1 species